GCAGUCCAGUGGACAAGCUGUAGCAAGACUUCCAGAAGUUCUUUCUCGAGAAACGCAGAAUGACAUUGGUACUUCGAAUACGUGUUUACUGAAAAAGUAAAUAAAUGUAAAAAAAAAUGAACCUAAGAGUCGUUAAAAAUCAGUAGCAGCAGCUUAAACCCACGAUCAAGACUUGAGUUAACGACACUGUCGUUAGGGAUCUCAUGAAUUAUUCAGUCAUUUCGGAUUAGAGAAGAGAAAGAGAAACGAGGGAUGUUUAAGAGAAGGGUCUAGUACUGUCAACGGUUCUACAUUGAGAAUCAACAAAUCAUCCGUCUACUGAGUUACUCAGUGAUAAUUAGAGUGUUCCAAGUCAACGGUACCAGUAUUUAUUUCUUGGGUUUUUUAAGAUGAAUGUCAACUAUUCUAUGCGGAUAUGACCUCGGAUUGUGGUAAAGCCAACUACGAUUCAACAUUUAGAGUUAUUCUCUCUUUGUGUUCGUCGUUGGAUUCUGCUGAAAGACAAGAGUGAGAAUCUACCUGCAAGUGAGAAGUUUCAUCUGACAUGUGGACUUGUAGACGUUUCCAUCGCUUCCGCAAACCGGUCCGUCUAGAGGCGCAAAGUCACAAGAUACUGGACAGUUUUCUCGAUGAGCUGAGAUGUUAUUGCACGGUCCAAGAUACUCAGCAGCCUUUCAACGAUCAUUAAUAACAGUUGGACAGGAUCUAAAGAAGAGGAAGAAGUUAUUUUAAUUGCUUUGAGAAUCGAAUGUGGAGUUGGUAAAAUUUUGAAUGAAAUCCAUUAAAAGAACGAGAGUAAUGUCAAUCAGAAAGAAAGUUUAGAAAAAUGUAAUUUUCUCGAUCGAACUCAUUAAACUUUAAAUCUAGAAAGUUUUUAAGUUUUCAAUUUUCUGUGUCAGAGCUCUGGUUAAAAAAAACAAUGACAAAGUAUUUUUUCUGAACUCAAUUACUAUCCAAAAAAAUAUUUGAAUAAGGAAAUUUUACAGUUGACCUUUAAAGCCAUAAAACAACUAAUCAUCAUUAUUUAAAUAAUACAAAAAAAUACCAAUUAUUUUUAGAAAAUAUUUACUUUCAUCAUUGCAAAUAGAACUUUUAACUGAAAAUGGCUUUAGAAGGACAUCAAUUUAAUGAGCUGUACUUUGGCAUAUUUGGAAUGAGAAAGCCAAUUAAGAAAAGUAAAUAAUUGGAUAUUUUUCGUGACAAUACGAGGUAAAUAAUAAAAUAAUAUUGUUGAUCCAAAUAAAAUAAUUCUAUCGAAAUUAUCAGAAUUAACGGUAUAUCUUUGUAUAUUGUGGAAUGAAUGAGUUUGGGUAUAAGUUGUGUGUGGAAUGUAUGUCAACUAGGGCGUUUGCAAGAGAGCAAUCGAAGAGAGCGAGUGGUAAGUCGACUUUAAGUCGAGCCGAAUCCCGUCCCAUAAAUCGUUGUGAUCGGUUAAGUGGUAAGUGGAGUACUGGGGCGAAAAACUACCUCCCAGACUGAGUAUGCCUUAAGUAUGGUCUUUUCUAUAACUUCCUCAGCAUACUAGCUUCAGAGAGCUCUGUUGAUCCGUUAGAUCGGAGAACGUUCAAUCGAGUUUCGCACACUGCGUUAUUUUUAUGUUCUAACAAGAUUCUUUGUGAGCUGUAAUAAUAUUUAGCUUUAUAGCUAAAUUACCCAUAUGGUUUAUGAUAUUUCAUGUAUUCAUUUUUUAUCUAAAGGCCAAAGGUAAUUGAGUCCUUGAUGAUUUGGCCGUUCAAAAAUUUGUAUUGAAGAGGUUUCUUGCGUUUCGCUUACCACUGUGCGUUGCUCUGAACGGUUUGAAUAUACAGUUAUUUAAAUUGACCACAUCGGGCUACGAAAACUCACACAUCUAGAUAUGAAUACGAGAUCUUUCGUGCGUGUAAUUUUGAAGCUAGGCAAUCGUGCAAUGAAUUUUCAGUGACCCUAUAAAUCGCCGGAUGAAUUCAAAACAACUUUUUACGGCGAAAAAAGUGCAUAAAAAAACGAUUUUCAUUAAAGCCCUCUUUAACCAUCAACCCACAAAAAAUGGAGAAAAAAAUAAAUUUACAUAUUCCCUGGUAAUACUAACAGAUAUUUAUAAAAUUCAAUUUUAUUUUUUAGAUAAGAAUUUAAUUUCAAUUUCAAAUAAUCGCUGAGAAUGGUCUUGAUGAUGUUUCGGUAAAUAUUGUUUUUAAUCAAUAUGUAAAAAGUUUCAUUACGAAUAUUUUCAAACUAGUAUGUAGAUACAUGGCUUUAUAAAACCAAGUAUAAUGGAAUAUCUAACGAGUUUAAAUUGCAAGAAAAAUGAUAUUGAAUAAUGCAAAUUCCCUUCUAAGGAUAAAAUAUGUAAUCCUAUAUCAAUUUCCAAUAAGAGAAUAUGUGAUUGAAUUAUUUACAUAGAAAUAUUGACUGAGUUUAAA